rnacentral:rRNA from 1 species
CGACCUCAGGUCAGGCGGGGUUACCCGCUGAAUUUAAGCAUAUCAAUAAGCGGAGGA